GAAAUGCGAUAAGUAAUGUGAAUUGCAGAAUUCCGUGAAUCAUCGAAUCUUUGAACGCACAUUGCGCCCUCUGGCAUUCCGGGGGGCAUGCCUGUCCGAGCGUCAUUACGCACCCUCAAGCCCGGCUUGUGUGAUGGGCCCCGGCGUCUCGUUCGCGAGACGGGCCCGAAAGGCAGCGGCGGCGUCGACCCGAUGAGCCCAAGCGUAUGGGGACUUCUGUCACACGUUCGCGGUGCGGACCGGCGCCUGCUUUGACUUUUCUGAUUAUCCAGGUUGACCUCGGAUCAGGUAGGGAUACCCGCUGAACUUAAGC
rnacentral:misc_RNA from 1 species